rnacentral:rRNA from 1 species
AACGAACGCUGGCGGCAGGCCUAACACAUGCAAGUCGAACGCAUCGCAAGAUCAGUGGCGCACGGGUGAGUAACACGUGGGAAUGUAUCCUUUGGUUCGGAAUAACGUCUGGAAACGGACGCUAAUACCGGAUGAGCCCUUAGGGGGAAAGAUUUAUCGCCGAAGGAGCAGCCCGCGUCUGAUUAGGUAGUUGGUGGGGUAAAGGCCUACCAAGCCGACGAUCAGUAGCUGGUCUGAGAGGAUGAUCAGCCACACUGGGACUGAGACACGGCCCAGACUCCUACGGGAGGCAGCAGUGGGGAAUAUUGGACAAUGGGCGCAAGCCUGAUCCAGCCAUGCCGCGUGAGUGAUGAAGGCCUUCGGGUUGUAAAGCUCUUUCGCACACGACGAUGAUGACGGUAGUGUGAGAAGAAGCCCCGGCUAACUUCGUGCCAGCCGCCGCAGUAAGAC